rnacentral:rRNA from 1 species
UACGGAGGGUGCAAGCGUUAAUCGGAAUUACUGGGCGUAAAGCGUACGUAGGUGGUUUGUUAAGCCAGCUGUGAAAUCCCCGGGCUCAACCUGGGCACUGCAGUUGGAACUGGCAAGCUAGAGUAGGGUAGAGGGGUGUGGAAUUCCAGGUGUAGCGGUGAAAUGCGUAGAUAUCUGGAGGAACAUCAGUGGCGAAGGCGACACCCUGGACUCAUACUGACACUGAGGUACGAAAGCGUGGGGAGAAAACAGG